AACUACUAGGGGAGCAUUUUGCUGAGAUGAUGAAAAUCAGACCCUUAUGACCUGAUUUGGUUAGUACCAACGUAGGAAAGUAGU
rnacentral:ncRNA from 1 species